CCACCUGACUUCCAUUCCGAACUCAGAAGUGAAACGAAUUAGCGCCGAUGGUAGUGUGGGGCUUCCCCAUGUGAGAGUAGGACAUCGCCAGGC
rnacentral:rRNA from 1 species